UACGGAGGGGGCUAGCGUUGUUCGGAAUUACUGGGCGUAAAGCGCACGUAGGCGGCUUUGCAAGUUAGAGGUGAAAGCCCGGGGCUCAACUCCGGAAUUGCCUUUAAAACUGCAUCGCUAGAAUUGUGGAGAGGUAAGUGGAAUUCCGAGUGUAGAGGUGAAAUUCGUAGAUAUUCGCAAGAACACCAGUGGCGAAGGCGGCUCACUGGCCCGGUACUGACGCUGAGGCACGAAAGCGUGGGGAGCAAACAGG
rnacentral:rRNA from 1 species